rnacentral:other from 1 species
UAAACCCUACAAACAUCGAUAAGGGAAUCAGAGUAUAGUUAUUGGUGUUGAAUGCUUAAAUAAUUUUAAGAAUCCUAAAAAUAACUAAGAGAUGCCCACCUGAUUAUUUCAGGUUUA